CAGGGAGACAACAAAAUGUUUAAUAUUAUUAUUUUGUCACCUUAGGUCGAUCGGUAUCUCACAUUCUUAAUUUGUUAAGAAUUUCAUUUCCUAAGUUUUUCUAGGUCACACCCAUUAUUUUUCCUGGGCCAUUAGCUCAGGUGGUUAGAGCGCACCCCUGAUAAGGGUGAGGUCCCUGGUUCAAGUCCAGGAUGGCCCAUAUCUCUAUGUUGGGGGUAUAGCUCAGUUGGUAGAGCGCCUGCUUUGCAAGCAGGAUGUCAGCGGUUCGAGUCCGCUUACCUCCACUGAUUACCUCCUCUUCCAUAACCGGUAGAAAGGAAAAGUUUUGAGUUGUGAUCUUUAAUCUGAACGAAUCUAGCUUCCUAAUGAAAUCAUUAAGAUGCUGGACUCAUUGAAUUAAUUUCAUUGUUUUCAGAGAACCUUGACAACUGCAUAGAUUAUUUUUAAAGACAAUAAGCAUCUUUAAUGAUGCAGAUUUAUUAUUUGUGCGAAUGCAUUAAUAACAAUUCUAUUAAGCUGAUGCUUCA
rnacentral:tRNA from 1 species